rnacentral:lncRNA from 1 species
AAUUUUUAUAAAUUAAUUCAAAUAUAAAGAGCACCACUUAAAAAAAGAAAAAAAAACUAUCAUAACUCUUGGAACUAGAAAUGAAAUUUGCUAUCCAUAUAAUUCCAUCACAUCUAUAAAAAUAUGGUGAUUGUUAAACUAAAUAAUAUAUGUGUUGAAUAUAAUAUUAGAAAAACCACACUAACAUUAGGUCUAAUAAUAAAAUUAAAAGUAUGAAAGUCAAUUAAAUUCAAACUAACGAACACCUUUACAAUAUUGAGGUAAACUAAAAUUCAAACACAAGAAAUGGCUAAUUGUCAACAUUCUAUAAUGGAGAAUUAAAUGCUGGCCUAAGGUGAAGUUAUAUUAUUCUACUCCUUGUUGACAAUGAUAGACUCUUCAUUUUAAGGUUAAGGUAUAGUCCACAAAACUUGUGUAUGCAGUCCCACUGGUCGAGCGACAUUGAUUAAAGCAUGAUUGGCUUGUUCAGAACUAUUGCCAAUUGUUUGUUCAUUGACAUCUAUAUUUUGCGAUUGUAGGCUAGUUCCAUGCUAUCCAAAAAAGAAAAAAAAGACCUUAAUUUCAUUUAAAUGAAAAAAAAAAUGAAUCAAUCUAUCUUAUAUAAUUCCAUAAUCAGAUCAAACAUAUACAAUUAGUGAUAUCCUAUUGGUUGGCCACACACCACCAAGACAUUAAUCCAUUUGAUAACAUAACAAAAAAAAAGAUAAAUAAAAAGAAAUCUAUUUUCAUCAGUAACAAUAUCAGACCUCUCACAUGGAGAAUGCUAUAGUUUUUGUAACAUUAACUUAGUUUUUUUUUUUUAAAGAACAUUAACUUAGGUUACUUGAGUUUACUUUAAACUGUAGUCACCUAUCAAAAAUAAAGAAUAAGGAGGUGCUCAAUUGAUUUUUACUAAAAUGUCCUCAAUACUGUUAACAAUUUUAAGGAUGGCAAAAUCCGGAUCCGGAUUCAGAUGUAGGUGCAUUCGGAUCUAGAUCUGCAUUUAUAUUUUUAUAUCCGGAUCCACAUUUGGAUCCGUAAAAAAAAUGUGGAUCUAGACGCGGUUAAUAUCCUUAAUGGAUGCGGGUGGAUAUUCCAAAUAUCAAUAAAAAUCAAUUGGAAUCAACAAAAAUCAAUGUUGUUAACUUAACAUUUUUAAUGGAGGAAUUAAGUUAAGGACUUGAAUGACAUAAAUUUGUACUUGAAAGUAUUUAAUUGAUUCAUUUUAUAAACUUAUGGUCUAAAAUUUUUUUAACAAAUAAUAAGGACUCAAUUAAAUAUUAUCCGCAUUUUUAUUGAAGGGUGAAUUUCUUUGGACUCCUUGACUUUUAUUGAAAUAUCAGACAUGUAAUGAAAAUUAAAAACAAUUUAAUUACCUUCCUUUACCAUUCUCAAUUGUUACAAAAACUCAUGCUUUAAUUAUUUUGAAGGUAAAAUAGUUA